rnacentral:lncRNA from 1 species
GAGGAAGAGGAGGAGAACUUAAGCCAUGUAGAGGGUAGGCUUAAAAAAAUCCACUGUGUCAUGAGAAGAAUGAAGAAAGAUCUCUAGAGUAGCCUGAUCAUGAACUGGGAUGUGUGCGCAAAGACUGAACUUGGAAUCAAUAAGGAUCUUCCACUGGAUCUCCGUUUUGGGAGGCAUAGAAACCUGCUGAGGAGAGAUGGAGCCAUCCCCAAGCCUGAGAAGAUGAGCAUAAUUGACUUAUACCAAACACUUCACUGCUCACUGUGGAUGAAAGAUGAACAACCACACAUCUCCUUUCCUUGAAAAGCCCAUGGGGUCAAAGCAGGGGUGAUGAUCCACAUGGAAGUAUUAUCAAGUCUUGGAUCCAGUUCUCUCAGCAAAGCAUAGAGCUGCCACUGAGUUAAUAAAGAAAUAAAAUUCCUAGACAUUACCUCAUGACACAGAGUCCAUGAAAAUGUACCAAGUUUGGUCCUUUCUAGCCAAGUUCGCUUUGGGAGGUGACUAUGCUAUCACACUCAGUCCUUAACGUUUUCCCUACAUUCUCCAGAGGAACCCCUUGCCCGGGUGCCCUCUGAAUGAGUCACCCGGCAGAGCUACUUCAAAAGGAGAACAGGUUUGAUGACUGGUUUUCUUUUCUGAGUAGGAGGAUUAAGAGUAGUGGCUUGCUUAGCUAUGAAUCAGCAAAAAUAAGGAAAGUACAUAUUGGACCCCGUGCUCCUUCUUAGCCAACCAUGACUUCUGAAGGAGACCAGAGCCCUGGUGGAGAAUAUCACUGGUCCACCAGUCUCAAGACCUCCUCUUGGUUCCACAUGAACCAUAAAUGUACAAAGUCACCAAACUUAAAGGUAUUAAUUUUAUCACUGGUCUGCUGUCUUAGUUAGGGUUCACUAGAGGAACAGAUUUAAUAUAAAAUAUGCAAUCACCACCUGUGCAAUCAAG